rnacentral:lncRNA from 1 species
GUAAGUGUAUUUGAUUUAGUCGACAAAAAGGUUAGAGCGCCAUCUUCGGCGACAGACUUUUAUAGACAGAGUUUCAAAGUCAAACAAUGAUCAAUGAAGAACAAUGAGAAAUCGAUGAUUAAUUGCAACAUAUUCUUAGCUGCAGACAAGUUAAUUGACUAAAAGGAGGCAAGAAGUUUUCACGGAGUGAAAAGAACAGAGUUAAAAGAAAGGAGUCAAAGAAAGGAAGCUACGCUCCUACCAAAGAAUAAAAGAACACUCCCGUAAAAA